CAGCAGCCGCGGUAAUACGGAGGGUGCAAGCGUUAAUCGGAAUUACUGGGCGUAAAGCGCACGCAGGCGGUUUGUUAAGUCAGAUGUGAAAUCCCCGAGCUUAACUUGGGAACUGCAUUUGAAACUGGCAAGCUAGAGUCUUGUAGGGGGGGGUAGAAUUCCAGGUGUAGCGGUGAAAUGCGUAGAGAUAUGGAGGAAUACCGGUGGCGAAGGCGGCCCCCUGGACAAAGACUGACGCUCAGGUGCGAAAGCGUGGGGAGCAAACAGGAUUAGAUACCCGUGUAGUCCCUGUCUCUUAUCC
rnacentral:rRNA from 1 species